AUCCAGCUGACAAGUUCCAAAUAGAACAAAACGCACGUCUUGGAU
rfam:Schistosoma curassoni strain Dakar, Senegal genome assembly, scaffold: SCTD_scaffold0009170